rnacentral:tRNA from 1 species
CCCGGCUCUGGCAGGCGGUCACCCGCUGGUGGAGCGGCUACUGACCGCUCGUCGCACCGCCCGGACACGGCGGCCCCGGAUCACGCCCACGGGCCCGGGGCC